CUCUCUCCCUCAUCUCUUUUUCCCUCUCUCCUCUCUCUUUCCCCCAUUCUUGCGUGCGUGAGCCCCUCCUUCAGCAGAACAUCCCACUUCCCCUCAUGUUAUUUCCCUCCAUCUCAUUUUCUUCCCUUCCUCUUCAUUUCUCCCUCUCCCUUCUUCUUCACCCUUCACACUAGCUUGCUCCCUCUCAUUUUUGUUGCUGCACCACCCACCUCAACCUCACGCCACUUCACCAGCCCAUGACUUCACAGCACCAUCCUCACACCAUCUUCUUCAUCACACAGCCCAGCAACCUCCACGCCAAGCUGCACCACCAAUAAUCGCUAGUUCUGCCCAGCAGCCCUUGCGUCCAGCCACCACCAGUGGCUACCUCACCACCCCAUUCCGGUCACAGCAGCACCUCCACAGAUUGCGGCAAGUAACUCAGCUCCAGAACCAGAACCGAAAUUCUAGCAGCAAGCCAUGGGCUUGCAAGGCUUUUUCAGCUUUGGUCGGCCCUCCAUUGGAGAUGCCGUAGGCUCGGGUAUUGGCCACCGUCGUGCCACCGUCGUCGUGGACCUGUUUGUUCGCUAAUUCGGUGAGUUAACUCCAUAAUCCUUGAUUAUGUUGUUAAUUGCACUUAGGGGGUUACUUUAGUGUUAAUUAGUUUAAGUAGAUUAGUACUAAGUGAGAUUAGCCUUAAGAUGAAUUAGUGUUAAUUUAUUUUGGUUAGAUUAACCUUAAGAUAGAUUAGUGUUGAUCUAGUGGGAAGGAUUAGCAUUAAUGAGGACGGUUUAGUUCAAUUCAGUGGAUUUUUCCUCAAAUCUGGUUUUUUGAACCCUUGCCAUUUGCCAUUUUUGUGGAUUGAAAUGUGCUGAGAUUUUGAGGUUGAUACCUUCUUGAAAAUUUUUUUAGACAUCUUUCUCUAUAACAUAUAUUUUUUUCAAGAUUUUAUGGAUUUAAAAGAGUAUUAUUUCAACUUUGUCAAAAAUAAAACAGAACCCCUGUUUUUAUUAGAACUGGUGAUCUUUUGGGAUUCAAGGGAUUUUUAUUAACUCUUAGGGUUUGAAUUUCGAAAUGGUUUUUUCACUAAAGUUGUUUUUCACAUCUUUUAGUUUAACAUACUCAAAUUUCAUAUCAAACGGAUAAGUUUUGGAUUUCAAACCAAAUUAAUUUUGGAGAACAUAAUUUCUAGACACGAACACAGUUUUUGUAACGGCUUGAGAAAAUUACUACUCUUAAUCUAGAAUGAUCUGGGUUUUGAAGUCUUCAUAAAAAAUUUUCAUUUAAGUAUCCUUUAUAACAUAUUAAAAUUUGUGAAUUUUCUGAGCUAGUUUGGUUAUAUUUCUGGAAUUAAACUUGAAGACGUGCGAGUGGCUUGGUUUCUGCCAAUUAGGACCAAUUAUGAUUUUGUGGUUGUUCUUGAUGUUGUGCUUGCUGAAUAAGGUGUAUUUAGUGAUGUGGUGGACUUGUGACAUGCUGAGAACUUAGGUGUGAGAUCAUGAGGUGGAAUGCUCUUUGUGGGUUGUUAUUGUUAUUGCAAAACAUGACAUUUUGGACUAUUAAAUAGAAAAUAAAUGAGGUGUCGGGUCCGGACACUAAAAAAUUAUUUGCCUAAUAAAACAAUAAGGUUUUAAAUUAGGUGCAUGUAAAGUUUGACGGAUUAAUUUUGAGUAUGUGAGCAUCUACGAAUUUAUUUCUAAACGUUUUGAACAAGAAAAAGGGGGUUACUAAAUGUUUGUUUUCAAAAGAGGGGGUUGGAAAAGAAAUUAGAAAAGAAAUAUGGUGUCGGGUUUGGACGCUAAGUUUUAUAUGCUAAAUAAAACAAGGAGGUUUUAUACAAGAUGCGUGCAAAAUUUGGUGGGUUAAUUUCAAAUACAGGAUUCCGUGCGAAUUUAUUUCGAAGAGUUUGAACAAAAAAAAAAGGGGUGCCAAGUGAAUUUUAAAAAUGGGUUUUUGGGGUUCUUGGCUACAUAUUGGAAUCUAAGAGUUGGCUUGGUUGAUGAGGUGCCAGCAUGGUUAGGUUACUUAAGUAGUUCAAUUUAAUUAGUCACAAUUUAUUUAUUUAAUUGUAAUUUAUAUAAUUAAUUAUUAAUUAGCAGAAAUUAUACCAGGAUAUCCGGUCGUUAGAAUUUCGCGCUGAUCAUCAUGGUUGUAUCGGUUUAUACAAUUGAGUGCUAAUUUGUGCAAUUGAAUGCUGAUUAGUGAUUUUGGGCUAUUAUUUCAAAAAUAGAAUUUUUGUAUUUAAUUAGAAAAAUAAUGGGUGUUGGUUUUUUACACCAAAAAAAUGUUUUUAGGUACUAUAUAAAAUCAUGGGAUUUUUAAAAGAAAUGAUAUUGUGCUUUACGGUUUGAUUUGACCAUGUGUCUACGCACGCCUAUUUUACCGAGUGUUUUUAAUAUAAAGAAAAUAGGCCAAGCAAAUUAUUUUAAUUGAGGCAUUUGAGUACAAAGCACAACAUCCUUAACCAGGAUUGGAUGUGCAUGUGAUCGUUAUGAGAACCCGUCGUGAGUGUUUACGCUAGGCGAUGCUCUUAUAUGGAAUGCCUCAUGUCAACGGAUGCCGGAUCACGGUAGAAGCCGGACCGAUGCUCCUUUGGGAAUACGAUCUAGAGGUAGAUGUUGCUGUGAUCGAUGGGGCAAGACGAUGCCCGGUUAUGUUGGAAGACUGCCGAAUGUCGAGUAAGUCGUGCCUGUGGGGCCGUAACUAAAUUGGAACGCAUGAAUAAGUGAUUUAGCCACGCCUUAUUAUGAGACAGAAUUGUGUGGUAUGAAAUGGGACGUGUCAUAAUGAUUUGACAUUAUAAUCGGGAUCCCGAGUAAGUUGUGCCUGUGGGGCCGUAACUAAAUUGGAACGCAUGAAUAAGUGAUUUAGCCACGCCUGAUUAUGAGACAGAAUUGUGUGGUACGGAAUGUGACGUGUCAUAAUAAUUUGGCAUUAUAAUCGUGAUCCCUGUGAUUGAUUGAGAUGUAAGUGAAGCGUUCCAGUCAUUGAUUGCAUCUACCGCAUUUAUAAAUGUAUAUGAGUCAUACUGACAUGUAGGGAGGUGCUGAGGCGAGAUAAGUUCUGAGUGGUGCAUGUUUAGGAUGCCUCUGAGUCAAUUCUUGUCCUAAUCGGGAUUUAGGGUGUUGACUCGCUGAAACAUUGUCUUACCUUGUCGUGGUUUAAAUUUUUUAGGUCCCUAGUGUGGAGAACCCGGAGCCCGAGGCUAAAGGGUCCGGAGUGUAGGUGGCCUGGUAGUUUCCUUUUGAAGCAGACUUAUGUGAAUAGACUUGUAAGACUUGUUUGGCAUGUGUAUAAAGUGGUUUGUGAUAAUUGGCUUGUCUUUCCACUAUCUUAGUGUUUGAUGGUUGUUAGGGUAUCUGUUAAAUUUCGCUUCCGCAUGUGCAUAAAAUGAAUGGGUCGGCGAUGUGUCUAGAGACAUUGCAAAUUUUAGUUGACCACUGAGGGAUGUGUGUGUGCCCGAGGUUUGGGGUGUGACAAAGGAAAUACAAAUAGAAAGAAUAAUAAGAAAAAUAGGAAAUGAGAUAUAAUAAGAAAAUGGGUUUUAUAAAUAAAUAAAAAAGUAAAAGGAUCGAUAUGGUUUUACCAUGGGUUCAUUGAGAUUUACAGAAGAGUGGGCUUUAUGUGAGCAAAGGCCUAAUAGGGUUUCGGUGUUAGUGUAGUAAAAAUGGGCCAAAUUCGGUUAUAGCAAAGCUGGAUUCAGUGGGGUAAUUUUUGAAAAAUGGCUUUGAGGGUUUAAAACUAAGAAAAGGACUUUAUAUAAAAGCCGAUCGUGUCCUCUGGCCCAGCGUGAAAUCAUUUU
rnacentral:lncRNA from 1 species